GGCUCAAUGCCCAGUGCCUCCAUGCAGUGCUGAUCUGGAUAACAUGUGGGUGCCAUAGGGCACUGAUAAAGAGCUAUGUAGCGCUCUCUCUGAGCAUCAUCUAUAUAGGCUACGUGCAUAUCGUCGAAGUCCUGCAUCCUGUAACAGUUAGGAAAAGGAUCCGGAAAAUACAAACAUUUCAAAUAUUUAGUCUCGGUGAAAAUAUAAAAAUAAAAUUAAAU
rnacentral:lncRNA from 1 species